CCUACGGGAGGCUGCAGUGGGGGAUAUUGCACAAUGGAGGAAACUCUGAUGCAGCGACGCCGCGUGAGGGAAGACGGUCUUCGGAUUGUAAACCUCUGUCUUUGGGGAAGAAAAUGACGGUACCCAAAGAGGAAGCUCCGGCUAACUACGUGCCAGCAGCCGCGGUAAUACGUAGGGAGCGAGCGUUGUCCGGAAUUACUGGGUGUAAGGGGAGCGUAGGCGGGCGAGAAAGUUGAAUGUUAAAUCUACCGGCUUAACUGGUAGCUGCGUUCAAACCUUCUUGUCUUGAGUGAAGUAGAGGCAGGCGGAAGGCGUGGUGUAGCGGUGAAAUGCGGAGAUAUUAGGAGGAACACCAGUGGCGAAGGCGGCAUGCUGGGCUUUAACUGACGCGGAGGCUCGAAAGCGUGGGGAGCAAACAGGAUUAGAUACCCUUGUAGUC
rnacentral:rRNA from 1 species